rnacentral:rRNA from 1 species
UACGUAGGGGGCAAGCGUUGUCCGGAUUUAUUGGGCGUAAAGAGCGUGUAGGCGGCCAUACAGGUCCGUUGUGAAAACUGGAGGCUUAACCUCCAGACGUCAAUGGAAACCGUAUGGCUAGAGUCCGGAAGAGGAGAGUGGAAUUCCUGGUGUAGCGGUGAAAUGCGCAGAUAUCAGGAAGAACACCCGUGGCGAAGGCGGCUCUCUGGGACGGUACUGACGCUGAGACGCGAAAGCGUGGGGAGCGAACAGG